rnacentral:rRNA from 1 species
GGUGAACGUUGGCGGUGCGCCAAAUACAUGCAAGUCGAGCGAGAAAGUCCAGACCCGCAGGGGGGAGGGCGAGUACAGCGGCGAACUGGUGAGUAACACGUGAUCAACCUACCUCUCCGACAGGGACAACCUUUGGAAACAAAGGCUAAUACCUGAUGGCGUUGCUUGCCCACAAGGGCGAGCAAAUAAAGGGGCGUUUGCGCCGCGGGGAGCUGGGGUGGCGGCCCAUCAGCUAGUUGGUAGGGUAACGGGCUACCAAGGCGAUGACGGGUAGGGGGCCUGAGAGGGCGAACCCUCACAUGGGGACUGAGAUACGGCCCUGACUCCUACGGGAGGCAGCAGUAGGGAAUCUUCCGCAAUGGACGAAAGUCUGACGGAGCGACACCGCGUGAGUGAUGAAGGUUUUCGGAUCGUAAAGCUCUGCUGUUAGGGAAGAACAAGUGCAAGAGUAACUGCUUGCACCUUGACGGUACCUAACCAGAAAGCCACGGCUAACUACGUGCCAGCCGCCGCGGUAAAAC